rnacentral:rRNA from 1 species
AUUGAACGCUGGCGGCAGGCCUAACACAUGCAAGUCGAGCGGUAACACAUAGAGCUUGCUCUCGGGUGACGAGCGGCGGACGGGUGAGUAAUGUUCGGGAAAAUGCCUGAUGGAGGGGGAUCACUACUGGAAAGGGUAGCUAAUACGGCAUAACGUCGGAAGACCAAAGAGGGGUACAUCCGGGCCCUUUGCACUCAGUUGUCCUCAGAUGGGAUUAGCUAGUAGGUGGGGUAUCGGCACACCUAGGCGACGAUGCCUAGCUGGUCUGAGAGGAUGUCCAGCCACACUGGAACUGAGAGACGGUCCAGACUCCUACGGGAGGCAGCAGUGGGGAAUAUUGCACAAUGGGCGCAAGCCUGAUGCAGCCAUGCCGCGUGUAUGAAGAUGGCCUUCGGGUUGUAAAGUACUUUCAGCGGGGAGGAAGGCGAUAAGGUUAAUAACCUUGUCGAUUGACGUUACCCGCAGAAGAAGCACCGGCUAACUCCGUGCCAGCAGCCGCAGUAA